rnacentral:rRNA from 1 species
GUUGGUGGGGUAAUGGCUCACCAAGGCGACGAUCAGUAGCGGGUCUGAGAGGAUGAUCCGCCACACUGGGACUGAGACACGGCCCAGACUCCUACGGGAGGCAGCAGUGGGGAAUUUUGGACAAUGGGGGCGACCCUGAUCCAGCCAUUCCGCGUGAGUGAAGAAGGCCUUCGGGUUGUAAAGCUCUUUCAGCAGGAACGAAACGGUAGGGGCUAAUACCCUCUGCUAAUGACGGUACCUGCAGAAGAAGCACCGGCUAACUACGUGCCAGCAGCCGCGGUAAUACGUAGGGUGCGAGCGUUAAUCGGAAUUACUGGGCGUAAAGCGUGCGCAGGCGGAUUGUUAAGCAAGACGUGAAAUCCCCGGGCUUAACCUGGGAAUGGCGUUUUGAACUGGCAGUCUAGAGUGUGUCAGAGGGGGGUGGAAUUCCACGUGUAGCAGUGAAAUGCGUAGAGAUGUGGAGGAACACCAAUGGCGAAGGCAGCCCCCUGGGAUAACACUGACGCUCAUGUACGAAAGCGUGGGUAGCAAACAGGAUUAGAUACCCUGGUAGUCCACGCCCUAAACGAUGUCAACUGGUUGUUGGGGGAGUGAAAUCCCUUAGUAACGAAGCUAACGCGUGAAGUUGACCGCCUGGGGAGUACGGUCGCAAGAUUAAAACUCAAAGGAAUUGACGGGGACCCGCACAAGCGGUGGAUGAUGUGGAUUAAUUCGAUGCAACGCGAAAAACCUUACCUACCCUUGACAUGUCCAGAAUCCUGCAGAGAUGCGGGAGUGCCCGAAAGGGAAUUGGAACACAGGUGCUGCAUGGCUGUCGUCAGCUCGUGUCGUGAGAUGUUGGGUUAAGUCCCGCAACGAGCGCAACCCUUAUCAUUAGUUGCUACGCAAGGGCACUCUAAUGAGACUGCCGGUGACAAACCGGAGGAAGGUGGGGAUGACGUCAAGUCCUCAUGGCCCUUAUGGGUAGGGCUUCACACGUCAUACAAUGGUCGGUACAGAGGGUUGCCAAGCCGCGAGGUGGAGCCAAUCCCAGAAAGCCGAUCGUAGUCCGGAUUGUUCUCUGCAACUCGAGAGCAUGAAGUCGGAAUCGCUAGUAAUCGCGGAUCAGCAUGUCGCGGUGAAUACGUUCCCGGGUCUUGUACACACCGCCCGUCACACCAUGGGAGUGGAAUCUGCCAGAAGUAGGUAGCCUAACCGCAAGGAGGGCGCUUACCACGGUGGGUUUCAUGACUGGGGUGAAGUCGUAACAAGGUA